rnacentral:rRNA from 1 species
UACGAAGGGGGCGAGCGUUGUUCGGAAUUACUGGGCGUAAAGGGCGCGUAGGCGGCCGAUCAAGUUAGAUGUGAAAGUCCUGGGCUUAACCUGGGGACUGCAUUUGAUACUGAUUGGCUUGAAUUCGGGAGAGGAUAGCGGAAUUCCCAGUGUAGAGGUGAAAUUCGUAGAUAUCGGGAGGAACACCGGUGGCGAAGGCGGCGACCUGGGUCGAGACUGACGCUGAGGCGCGAAAGCGUGGGGAGCAAACAGG